ensembl:lncRNA
GUACUGCGUCAAGUCUGAAUCGAAGUAGCUAGCUAGAAUUCUCAAAGCGUACUAGCUAGCUCUCCAUAUUUUUUUGUGUUUAAGUAAACAUUUUUGUACAUAGCUAGAUUAUUUUAUAUGUUAUAUUUGAAAUAAUCAGAAAAACAUUAUUUUCAAAGAAAGGUCAUCUACAACAUCAGUGGAUCGAAAUGUUCGCCUCAUCCAGCUAUGCUGUAGCUAGCGUUUAGUUAAAUCUAAUGAAGCAAAUAAAUGCUAUCGUUAAUACCAGCGAUUUAGCUUAUACCACUAGCUACUUAAUCGGUUAGCGAGCUAACGUUAGCUAACAAGUGACAAUUCAGAAACGUAAACAAACCAACUGCGAGAAGCUGGCGGUGGGAUGUGGAUGUAGCCUGACGUUUUUUGUGAAAUGGACCUUGGAGAACAUUUAUACUGCGAGUUGGACUGUAUCGUUUAACCAGGCGAUAAACAGAGCAACAUUCCAACGACAACGUUGCUACUGAAAAACAAUACCAACCCUGAAUCCCAGUCCUCAUCCAUUUGGUCGGCUAAAGCCAUCGUCUCAUCAAGGCCUGUUAGCGUUCGUCUACCGUUACUGGCUUAGCUAGCUAACUAGUUGCCAAGCCCAUCAAAAACACCCGUGCAGGAGGAUCCUGAAGCAGUUGUGCUCCGAAAACACCACACUUGUCCACCAAAAAAAGCACUUAUGGCAGUGAUGACCAUGGAGCUUUGAGUCUUCUUGGGAUGCCUCAUUCAGCUUUGUGCACCUGGAUUUGGGGAGCAGCUCCCACUCUUCCUUGUACAUCCUCUCCAGCGCGGUCAGAUCGAAUGGGGAGCAGCGGUGAACUGCGAUCUUCAGCUCCCCUGACAGCUGUUCAGCAGAGUUCAUGUGUAGACCUGAAGCAGCAGCUCCAAUUCUUCCUUGUAAAUCAUAUAAAGCCCUGUCAGAGUGGACAGGGCGUGUCGGUGGACUGCCGUCUUCCGCUCUCCCAUGGAUGUUCAGUGGGGUUCAAGUCUAGACGGAUGCCACUCUUGAGUGAAAAGCAUAUUACAUGCUAUCUAGUGUUUGCCAAGCAGCAAUGAGGAAAAGGAAACGACUAAGGGCUGUUAGGAUGGUCAUUGGGUCCCUGGUCACCUCCCUGACCAGGCCCCAUGCCCGGUUACUUAGUUUGCCAGGCGGUCACUCUAGGAAGAGCCUAGGUGGUUCCAAACUUGUUCCACUUCACAAUGACGGAGCCCAUUGUACCCCUGAGAACAUAAAGUGCCCCAGCAUUGUUUUUAUAACCAGCCACAUAUCUAUGCCUCUACACAAUUCAAUGCAAUUUCUGAGGUUUGUGGAGAGUUCCAUGGACUUCAUGGGUUUGUUUUUGUUCUGACAUGCGCUGUGAAGUGUGACACCUUAUUUAA